GACUGUGGCAAACCAGGGCAUAAACUCGCGGAUUGUAGGACGAGGAAGCGUGACCAACAGCAGAGGAGUACACAACGCCAGGGAGGAAGGCGACCGGACGCAUCGCCUCAGGUGGUUUGCUUUAAGUGUCAGGCGGAGGGCCAUAUCGCACCUGACUGCCCGCUACGACGGGACAAAAAGGCCAGUACCAAGAAUGAACGUGUAGUCAACUGCUGCGCGGUGGAGUCCCCAGCUGGUACCCUAAGUCAUCUGGCCACACACGAGGACGUGUGAUAGUCAGGAUGGCCGUGUCGGAGAUGAAAGGACACCGGAACCUUCGGAUAGCCCCGCAACAUUGCAAUCUAAAGUCUACUAUAA